UGGGGAAUUUUUCGCAAUGGGGGCAACCCUGACGAAGCAAUGCCGCGUGGAUGAUGAAGUAUCUCGGUACGUAAAAUCCUUUCGACGGGGACGAAACCGCAAGGUUGACGGUACCCGUAGAAGAAGCCCCGGCUAACUCCGUGCCAGCAGCCGCGGUAAUACGGGGGGGCAAGCGUUGUUCGGAAUUACUGGGCGUAAAGGGUGCGUAGGCGGCUUUCUAAGUCGGAUGUGAAAACUCUGGGCUCAACCCAGAGCCUGCAUCCGAAACUGGAGAGCUAGGGUUCUGGAGGGGAAAGCGGAAUUCCUGGUGUAGCGGUGAAAUGCGUAGAUAUCAGGAGGAACACCGGUGGCGAAGGCGGCUUUCUGGACAGAUACCGACGCUGAGGCACGAAAGCUAGGGGAGCAAACAGGAUUAGAUACCCUGGUAGUCCUAGCCCUAAACGAUGGAUACUUGCUGUGGGGGGAUUGAAGCCCUUGUGGCGAAGCUAACGCAUUAAGUAUCCCGCCUGGGGAGUACGGUCGCAAGG
rnacentral:rRNA from 1 species